rnacentral:rRNA from 1 species
AAAAUGUAAAGGCUUUGGGUCACCUCCCACCCGUGUUUAUUUUACCUUGUUGCUUCGGCGGGCCCGCCUUUACUGGCCGCCGGGGGGCUCACGCCCCCGGGCCCGCGCCCGCCGAAGACACCCCCGAACUCUGUCUGAAGAUUGAAGUCUGAGUGAAAAUAUAAAUUAUUUAAAACUUUCAACAACGGAUCUCUUGGUUCCGGCAUCGAUGAAGAACGCAGCGAAAUGCGAUACGUAAUGUGAAUUGCAAAUUCAGUGAAUCAUCGAGUCUUUGAACGCACAUUGCGCCCCCUGGUAUUCCGGGGGGCAUGCCUGUCCGAGCGUCAUUGCUGCCCUCAAGCCCGGCUUGUGUGUUGGGCCCCGUCCUCCGAUUCCGGGGGACGGGCCCGAAAGGCAGCGGCGGCACCGCGUCCGGUCCUCGAGCGUAUGGGGCUUUGUCACCCGCUCUGUAGGCCCGGCCGGCGCUUGCCGAUCAACCCAAAUUUUUAUCCAGGUUGACCUCGGAUCAGGUAGGGAUACCCGCUGAACUUAAGCAUAUCAAUAGGCCGGAGAA